GUGUAGCUCAGCUGGUUAGAGCACAGGAUUCAUAACCCUGAGGUCGGCGGUUCAAGUCCGCCCAUU
rnacentral:tRNA from 1 species